UGGCUUUACCUGAAGACGGUGCGCUAACCGCAAGGAGGCAGCCGGCCACGGUAGGGUCAGCAACUGGGGUGAAGUCGUAACAAGGUAGCCGUAGGUGAACCUGCAGAAGGAUCA
rnacentral:rRNA from 1 species